UGCAGGCCGCCCGCUCUCAUCGGCCCCGGCCUCCUCCGCGCCCGAGCGACACUGAGCGCCUCAAAUUUCCAUCAUGGCUGCAGCUUCCGAGGAGAGACGGAGACUGUCCCGCCCCCCGCCUCCUCCGCCGUCGCCACUGAGAAAUAGUCCCGCCACAUCAGCGUCCCGCUGCCGCCACGACCGCUGUUCCUCCCUUCCGCUGCCCCGCCCGCUCCUCGGCGCUCUCCUGCACCCCGGGGAAACGCUCUGAUCGUAGAGAGGUUGGGAGAUCCGUCCCGGGGAGCAAACGGUGAGCAGGCCACAGGGAAGCGGAAGGAUAUGUUCACGCUACCGCGGCCACGGAGUUACUGCCCGUGGAGUCACGUGGGGCUCGUCGGGGCCCUUUUCUGCCUGCGGCGCUCCACCCACCUCUCCCUGUGGUGGAGCGCAGCGCCUGCCCGCCUCUCCCGCGUAGGAGCUGGGGGGCUGGUUAGUGGGGCUGCAGCUCGGCUACUCCGGGGCAGAACCGGACCUUGGACCCAUGCAGCCUGGCUGCCCCACGGAGGGAUGCUGCUCCUGGUUGCUGGGACCACCAUGUAGAGACUGGAAAUGUGAGAACUGCUAGAGCAUGCAGCAUCUUCUCAGGUACUGGCUACAGUGGAAAGUUGUUUCCAAGGAGGAACAAAUGCUAUACACGAAAAACUGCAGGAUAGCUGAGUUCAGGGAGUAGAGCAAUCACCAAAUGUGGUGGUCCUGGGGGCUGCAUCAGGUGUAGGAGAAGCAGGAACCAUAUGUGGCGGAUAGAUAGUUUGUAUUAAGCCCUGUAAUAUUAGGAAUAGCUGCUGUGAGUACAGCUGGUUGAAAUGUUUUAGUAAAAUAUGCUGUCUUGGCAAAGAUUGCUUAAAUGUUAACAGAAGUGUAUCAGUUUCCAUGAAACUUUCAUUUGGAAACGUUUUGGGUCCUGGGCAGAGGUUCUAUAGGUGGGUGGAUUAGGAUACUUAGCUGGGAUUUGGGGGAGACCUAGGUUCAUGUCCUUGCACUGAAUCAAGCAGAGCAGGGACUCGAAUUUGUCUUCUAUAGUCCAGGCCAGUACUCUUAAACACCAGGAUAGAGCGAGACUCACAACUACCUCUUUCCUCUGAUGCAAUUCUGUUUUCAUGAAAAUACAGAAGGAAAACAAUUUUUUAAAGUUGGUGUGAAACAGAGUUGUCAUUUCCAGUUAAGGUGAGUAAGUAAUCAGUCUGCAGCAUGGGUUAUGGGUCCACCUGUUCUCUAUGAGCAGGGAACACCUAUAAACCAGCCACAACUCCUCUCCCCAAAAAUUCAGGGACAUAGUUGCUGUCUGUCAUACCCUUCUUACACAAGUCCUACAACUAAGGCUAUGUCUACACUACCCUUUUGUUGUUAAAAUUUUUGUCGGUCAGGAGUGUGGAAAAAAACAUAUCCCUGACCCACAAAAGUUUUAAGGACAAAAAGCACCGGUGUGGACAGCAUUUUGUCGGUGGGAGAUGUGCUCCCUUUGACAAAGCUAGCAUCCCUCAUUGGGGGUGGUUUUAUUUUGCCAGCAGGCGAGCUCCAGCCGGCAAAGAGCGGAUACACUGCAUAUCUUACAACAACACGGUUGUAGCGGCACAGUUGUGCUGCUGUAAGGUACGCUGUGUAGACAUAGCCUUACAGAGUGAUGCUAAAAACAUUAGACCAAAACCUAAAAGCAUGAUAUAUGAGACACUGGGAAGAAAGGUAAAAAUAACCACAAGCAGGAUGGUCACAUAACCAUAACAGAUACCUCACAACGCAGAUAUGUGUAAUAAGGUAUGCUGUCCACACAUAUGCAAUGAUAACUAACAAGAAGUGGAAACACAAACCCAAUGGAAUGAUUGUGUAAUCCGCAUAACAGAAAAGACUGAAGCAGAGAGAUUUUUUUACUCCAUUGUCUAAAAUAGAAGGGAAGGAGAUAUUUCAUCAAUUAUGAGAAAUGAUCAAAGACUUCAAACAAUAACAAUGAAAAAACCUGUGCAUGAGGAUAAUGGUGGAUGUAGCAUGAAAUCUAUAUAACAACCUGAUACUUAAUGAGAAACGUAUAUGAGAUUAAACUACCAAAACAAUGUGUUGUAUCUACCUCUGGUAAAGAGCUGAGGUCUCUUUUCCUUUACAUUUUAGCAACAUUUUAGUAUAACUUGUCAUGCCAAUUAAUUAGUUUAAAUUUUCUAAAGAAUAAGCUCCAGCAUAGAGGUGGUUUCUGAGCUAGUAUAUGGGCACCUACUGCCCCCUGCAGCCUCAUAGGUCCCAGAGGAGUAAAUCCAACCGGACAAUAGGAACAGAGAGCAGGAGGGCACAGUAGCAGUACAUUAACAACUGCAAUUCACCAAUUAUGUUUCUUUCUCACCUCUUCCAUACUCAACAGAGCUAUAUGUCUUGUUUUUGCAUCAUUCCCACCAUACAUAUAGCUAAAGAGCAUUGGAGACAGAGCAUAGUGUGUAGAUUAUAAAAAUCUCUCAUAUCUGCUACUUCAAAUACUUGUACUCCACUUCUGCUAGUUCUGAGGAAUUGCCCCUAUGAACCCAAUUGUGCCUCACCUGAAUGGGAAAAUUACUUGCUUUGUGUGACGAUUUGGGGGUUCUCUCCAUAUCACUUUUGAAUUGUCAGAUAUGUUAUUAAACUGAAUCAUUAAA